UACGUAGGGGGCGAGCGUUGUCCGGAUUCAUUGGGCGUAAAGAGCUCGUAGGCGGCUUGGCAAGUCGGAUGUGAAAACUCCAGGCUCAACCUGGAGCCGCCAUUCGAUACUGCUGUGGCUAGAGUCCGGUAGGGGAGUGUGGAAUUCCCGGUGUAGCGGUGAAAUGCGCAGAUAUCGGGAGGAACACCGAUGGCGAAGGCAGCACUCUGGGCCGGUACUGACGCUGAGGAGCGAAAGCGUGGGGAGCGAACAGG
rnacentral:rRNA from 1 species